rfam:Arc I group archaeon T1lsi0528_Bin055 AMQ22_contig000014, whole genome shotgun sequence.
GUGGGCGGAAUAUUGGCUUCCCUUCGGGGAGGAAGCUCCAUCCACCUGGCCAGGAUGUGGCAUCGAAAGAUGCUUGGAGAAAUCCAAGGUAAAGGAACAGAAAAAAACGGCCUUUGUUUGAUGAAAAUGAUGUAGGCAUAAUCUGGUAACAGAUUUCAAAACUACUGAGAAGACAUAGGAAACGGUGGAAUACCUUCCCACAUGGUGCAAGACCAAACUAAAACCGAUGAAACCUGGUCUGAGGUUUGUGGUAGGUCGCUUAGUUCAAUGCCAAUAUUACAAAAGAUGGGCUAUAAUCCGCCCAC